GAAGAAAUCCUGAAGCUUCAUGUACUUGUGCUGAUUCUAAAGAGCUCUCUGACCCGAGCAGUGGAUUCUGAAAUCCUGCAUUGUUUUCUGCUUGCUGGAAAUUCUCACUACCUGAAUGGGAGUCUGUAUUAAGAAAUUAAGGGAGAGCUGGAAUUUCUAUUGUGGUUCAUAUGGAUUAACAUAAAAAUAUACUGGGAAUAUAUAUAUAGAAAACAAAUGCAUGUAUUUUUAUUUUAAAUCCAUAAAUAACUGAGCCGCUUUUACCAUGCUUGGUAAUUAAAACAUUCUGAUGUCAUUUGAUUGUAUUUUCCAGAGCAGCUUUUCAUCAGAUUCUCUUUUUCAAUGAGAGUGCUACUACUGACCUGAGAUUUUUUGGAAGAUAUUUGAAGUGACACAAAGAGAUAAACCUCAAACCAGUACAGUCUGGUGUGUAUCUCCUGGCUCCUGGGGCAGUGUGGUGACCCAAGGCUCUGCAGCUGCCUCACUGCUUGUGAAAUUGCCCUGGGAGAAGUCCGUGCUGGUCCUUCCAGUGUAAAGGAGGUGUUUUGAUCAUUGGUACUGCAACAGCAUCAGUGCUUUUAUAAGGAUCUUUGGAGCUCCCUGUGAGAGAGGUGGCAGACUGUUUGAGAGCAGCAACAACACCUACAGAGCUCUCAAGAUGACUGAAGACCUUCUCUGAUGCAUCUGAUCCGUGGGGUAGGUACAUUUCAAUGAGAACAUUUCACUCUUUAUUAAAUGAGGCUUUGGGUUUUACAUGAAGUUUGUUAUUGCCUCCAAAAACUGAUAGAGACCAACUGCAAGAUGCAAGCAUGCAAACUGUUCUGUCAUGGCAGCGUGCUGAAAAAUAGCCACAAGCAGCCCCGGUUGGUGUGUCCAGCAGCAGGUGGAUCACACUCCUUCUGUUGGCUUGGCUUCACCCAACAAGAAGGGCUGGGAAGAGGCACAGGCUGUGACACCCUACUCCCCAGCACACCGGAGUUGGAUCCUGCCCUGCUCUCAGAGAACCAGAGAACCUGUGUCUGGUGCUCUUGGGCUGUUGUUCAUAUUGUUUUGGUCUCAGCUGAGCUAUUUCUAACAACGAAAAACAUAUUGGAGAGAGUUACAAUUUGCUGUAAUCAUAUUUUUCCAGUUUUUCUCUGUGAUAAUUACUCCCAUAAAUAUCGUUGCUUUACCUCAGCUCAGCAGAGUGCUCCCUGUCUCUGUGCUCAGCCACAGCCUCCCAGGCCCUUGCUGUGGUGGAAGGAUGAUGGCAGUGUUUGUUAUUGCUGUGACCAACCGAGGUUCCUCCAUCGAGAGAACCCCUUCAGCUCCCCAAUUCUCCCCCUAACCUAGCACCCGAGACCCCCGGAAUUUCCAGGUAACCCUUACCUGCUCCCACAUGACACCGUAGGGCUAAAGACAAAGCAGCUCGAGGCAGCGCUGCACCUGGAGCUGAGUGCUUGCGGUUCAGCCAGGCACCUGCGCUGCUUCCCAUUUCCGCUGCUGGAGAUCUGCCCGUCUCCCACCGCCGGGCCGGGUGGGGACGUAGGUGCGCGGCGGCGGCCCCGUUCAGCCGGA
ensembl:lncRNA